rnacentral:lncRNA from 1 species
ACUAUGGGGGCAGGGUAGCUCACCCCUGCGCAGAGAGCACGACCCAGCCUGCCUGGGGAGGCCACACGCAGCCUCCUCCUCAGCCAUCAGCCCCUGACCUUGGAUUGCGUAUCACUGUGGUAAUAACUCCCGCUGGCUGGGGGAGGUGCCAAGCCUGCCAGUCUCUUUGUCUGGCAUGUCUGAGGGUAGGACCCUGCCCUGCGGAGCUACCCGUGGAAGCUCCUGGAAAUUUCCAGAGCCUACUGGAAAUGCCCCCUUCAGCCAGAUCCCACCUCAGGGCCUCAGUGAGCCACAUGUGUGAGCACAGUUGCUCUCACAUCUAGACCAUGGAUGGAGGCCUUUCCAGGAGCUGCCUGUUCCCUGUCUCUCUCUGCACAUGCUCACACUUACUCGGCAUAGCCAGGAGAUGGGCCUCCCGGGUACGUCUAGAGGUCAAAUCCACAGUAACAAAACAGACAGACCCCAGGCCCACCCCUGGUGGACCGACCCCAGGCUGAGCGACAGCACGGUCGGGGCUGCUCCCGGGCAGAGGUGGCCCGGGUGUGGAGGACGCUGGAAGAGAGAAGCCUGGGUGUGAAGGUCCACACCACUGACAAGGACACCAAGACUCCACUUAACAAGUGGCCACCCUGGCCCUGAGAACCUCAGUCACAGGACCUGGUCUCACGGAGCUCAGCUGGCUAUCAGACCACCACCAACUCUGGGCGGCGGGGCGACCCUCACUCUUCAUUAGCACCGGGGAGGGGACCCAUGUCAGCCAAGGUGUGGCAGCGGAGGGCGCUAGACCUUCACGAGCCGCACUCAGCCACCCUUGCAGCCCUUUGGGCUGGAUUUGCCUGCCCCUCCAUGAAGCUACUCUCCCUCUGGCUGGCCCUGAAGAGCCCUGUGCCUGUGGGGAGGACAGUCCCUGGACACUCUGUUCCUGUGGUUCAUCCUCAGCUCCUGUGUCAACUCCCCGGACAGGUCUGGUCAGCCCACCGUCCCUGCUCCCUGACAUGCUCCUGGCCUCUCCCAGAGCCGUCUGUCUGAUCCAUCCGUGUAGAUGGGCUCUGAGCCUGUAAGUGACAGGCAGAGAGGCUGUCCUUGAAGAAUCGGCCCAGUGUGGGCAGUGAGCUCUUCAUCC